GCGGACGGGUGAGUAACGCGUGGGUAACCUGCCUUACACUGGGGGAUAACAGUUAGAAAUGACUGCUAAUACCGCAUAAGCGCACAGGGCCGCAUGGUCCGGUGUGAAAAACUCCGGUGGUGUAAGAUGGACCCGCGUCUGAUUAGGUAGUUGGCGGGGUAACGGCCCACCAAGCCGACGAUCAGUAGCCGACCUGAGAGGGUGACCGGCCACAUUGGGACUGAGACACGGCCCAAACUCCUACGGGAGGCAGCAGUGGGGAAUAUUGGACAAUGGGCGAAAGCCUGAUCCAGCGACGCCGCGUGAGUGAAGAAGUAUUUCGGUAUGUAAAGCUCUAUCAGCAGGGAAGAAAAUGACGGUACCUGACUAAGAAGCCCCGGCUAACUACGUGCCAGCAGCCGCGGUAAUACGUAGGGGGCAAGCGUUAUCCCGAUUUANCUGGGUGUAAAGGGAGCGUAGACGGUUUUAGCAAGUCUGAAGUGAAANGCCCGGGGCUCAAACCCCGGUACUGCUUUGGAAAANUGUUAGACUUGAGUGCAGGAGAGGUAAGUGGAAUUCCUAGUGUAGCGGUGAAAUGCGUAGAUAUUAGGAGGAACACCAGUGGCGAAAGGCGGCUUACUGGACUGUAACUGACGUUGAGGCUCGAAAGCGUGGGGAGCAAAACAGGAUUAGAUACCCUGGUAGUCCACGCCGUAAAACGAUGAAUAUCUAGGUGUCGGGGGGCAAAGCCCUUCGGUGCCGCCGCAAACGCAAUAAGUAUUCCACCUGGGGAGUACGUUCGCAAGAAUGAAACUCAAAGGAAUUGACGGGGNACCCGCACAAGCGGUGGGAGCAUGUGGNUUUAAUUCGAAGCCAACGCGAAGAACCCUUACCAAAUCUUGACAUCCCCACUGAAAACCCUUUAACCGGGGUCCCUCUUCGGAGCAGUGGAGACAGGUGGNUGCAUGGUUGUCCUCACCUCGUGUCCUGAAAUGUUGGGUUAAGUCCCGCAACGAGCGCAACCCUUAUCCUUAGUAGCCAGCGAGUNGAGUNGGGCACUCUGGGGAGACUGCCAGGGAUAACCUGGAGGAAGGUGGGGAUGACGUCAAAUCAUCAUGCCCCUUAUGAUUUGGGCUACACACGUGCUACAAUGGCGUAAACAAAGGGANGCAAAGGAGCGAUCNGGAGCAAACCCCAAAAAUAACGUCUCAGUUCGGAUUGCAGGCUGCAACUCGCCUGCAUGAAGCUGGAAUCGCUAGUAAUCGCGAAUCAGANUGUAANACGGUGAAUACGUUCCCGGGUCUUGUACACNCCGCCCCCCAAAAACAUGGGAGUUGGUAACGCCCGAAGU
rnacentral:rRNA from 1 species